rnacentral:lncRNA from 1 species
CCUGUCUACACAGAGUAGCAGUGGCUCUCCAGGAUUUCAGACAGGGGUCUGCCCCAGCCCCACCUGUGUGCUAAGCAGAUGCUCUACCAUUGGGUUUUACAGAAGCUUCAAAGAAAAUGUACACAGAGUAAUUGUGAAAACAUUACAGGCAACAGAAGGUUGCCUGGUAUUAGGGGCAAUAGCUUCAUUGAUGCAUGGGAAACUGAGGUGGGGUUCCAGAAACCUGCAAAAGGGCAACAAACUACAAGAAGGACGCAGCUGGAGAGAAUGAUUCCUAGUUUCAGUUGUCUCUACUGAAAGGCACAGGGUAUGGGAAACAAGCAAGAUGAAUUGGAGCUUUUAAUACAGGAUGGCAAAUAAGACAUAUGACCUAGAAGGCGAGUAGGCAUUGUCUCAGGGUUCAAGAUUUCUUUAACAGAUUGGAGGAUUGGGUUAACAAAUGAAUUUGAAUAGGGAGAAAUGUAAGGUUCUGCACUUAGGCAGGAAGUACCAACUUCACAAAUAUAAGUUGAAGGACACCUGGCUUACUAGGAUCUCGCCAUCUUAAUGAAAUUCAAGCUUCACUUGAGUGAACAGUGUGGUGCAGUUUUUGCUGUAUGUGUAUUUAAAACAAAUUCUUUAUUGGUUUAAUUCAAUCUGCCUGUAAGCUGCCUUGUUGCUCCCUAGCACAGAAAGACAUGGAACCUAAGUUUCUUUAAACAGAUUGACCAAAAAUGGUACACAGCAAUACGCUUUGAUGUCCAACUCUCAUUGCAGUGUUGUACCAAAAUACUAUCAGCAAAUUCUGGCCUUGGUGUUUGCAGUCAAGGAAAUCAACAAGAAUUCCAAUAUAUUACCUAAUGUCACAUUAGGAUUCCACAUCUUUGAUAGUUACUUCAGUGAAAGGAUGACCUACUGGGCCACUUUGGAGCUGCUCUCUACACACUACAGAUUCGUACCCAACUACCAGUGUGACAAACAGAAAAAUCUGAUGGCCGUCAUUGGGGGACUUGACUUUGAGGUUUCCCUCCACAUGGCAGCCAUCUUAGGUGUCUACAAGAUUCCCCAGGUAAGAGUCAAACAUGGUGACUCAUUCUUCUUUCCUCUGUCCUGUUGAGAAAAGUUUUGCAUUCCAUCAUAGCCCUCUUGACAAUUUCAAAUUGUAUUCAAUAAAAGCUUUCAUCCGUCUUCAUCCAUUUCCCAACGUGUGCAUGUUCUUCAGAGGGUAGGAAUGGAACAUUUUGCAGAUACAGUUGUACACACCUGCUCUAUGUAUGUGAACAGCUUGAUCUGCCGGCCUCAGGUAGACUCCAACCAGGAUGAAUUACGGAGGCUGCUCAUCAGUCACUUGUACAUUACCUUAAUUAAUUUGACCUGGACAAUUUGGGGCUGUCAGGGGUGCCAUCAACAGGUCACUGGUUAUCUACCUAGUGAAAUCAGAGGAGCAGAGAGAGCUUUUCAAUGGUUUCAUUUUAAUCCACAGGAAGACAGAAACACGUGAAAGUAUGCUCUCACCCUUGAGCUAAUAUUGCUCAGAUUGCAACUCCACCCUGCACCGACAAUUUCUUCCUAGAAAUCAGACGCCUCCUGCUGCCUAUGGUGGCUGCUAAGAUCAAUUCUCUUUUGGGUUCUGCAGAGCAUGUCUGGUCCUUGUGGAAGGAGGGGGCUCUGACAAACUCUCUUGAGAAAGAAUGUCACUUGGCUGCUGUACUGUUUCUAAGAAAUCUGACUCCUGUCUUUGUUCAUUGCCACCUUGCUCUGGUUCAUCAUCACUUAUUAUUUCCCAGGUGCUUUUUCCUUCUCAGGUGUGACCUGUCUCAAACCACCACACCAUACUCUCCCCCCUUCCUUCUUUCUGGAAGGUUCUUAGGGUGCUGCUCUCCACCACUCCUCCUCAUCUGCCCAUUCCCUGACGGGCUUACUAAGACAGCAGGUCCAAAGCACAAUGGUUUCAUCAUUGCAAUCCACACAUAACCAAUGUUUCUACUGCAUUAAUGGGAAUUAAGUGUCCGUUUCCUUCUAGCUCACUUAUGGCUCCUUUGCCCCAGAGGAUGCUGGUCAAAGCCAAUCCACUCCCUUCUACUGGAUGGUGCCCAAUGAAGCCCAUCAGUACACUGGGAUUGUUGAGUUACUUCUGCACUUUGGAUGGACGUGGGUUGGGUUGUUCGCGGUGGAUAGUGAGAGUGGAGAGAAGUUUAUGGAAAUCCUGCAAACUCUGCUUUUCCAGAGAGGCAUUUGCUUGGCCUUUUCAGAGAGAACUCCAAAAGGCUCAUAUUUUGAAGAGUAUUAUCACAUGAUUCCCCAGUGGCUCCAAGCCUAUCUUGCUAUUGCGGAAAGCAAAGCCAAUGCUGUUGUUGUCUAUGGAGAAGCCAAGUCCAUGUGUUUUUUGCAACUAUGGCUAGCGGCAGGGGGUGCAGAAAAUGUGACAUCUAUGGAGAAGGUAUGGAUUAUGACUGCUCAAUUGGAUUUCUCAGCAUUGGCCUUUCAAAUGAGCCAGAGUAUGCAACCAUUUCAUGGCUCCAUCUGCUUCACAGUGCACUCAAAGGAGGUGCAAGGAUUCAAGACCCUUCUUCGCUCCCUCAAUCCUUUCAUGGCAGGUGAAGAUGGUUUUCUUCAGCAGUUCUGGCUGCAGACAUUCUAUUGUUUCUUUUCAAAAUCCAGUACUGAGUUCAGUGAACCCUGCACUGGACAGGAGAAGCUGGACAGCCUCCCCUCGUCUGGCUUUGAGAUGAGCAUGACUGGCCACAGCUACAGCAUCUACAAUGCUGUCUAUGUUGUGGCACAUGCCCUACAUGAUGCCAUGUACAGAUCCAGGGCAAAAGACAGAGGAAUUGUGAGAAGAUGGAGACCGCAGCUUCAGAAAUUGCAGCCUUGGCAGGUAAUGGCUCUUUUUUUUUGGUAUAUCUUUUAAUUAUUAUUUCAUUUUAUAUUGUUGAUAAAGCAAAGAUAACGCAAUUUUAACAACAGACAAAAAUUGAGAGAUGAAUAACUGAACUGUAAAAUAGGCAGGUAGGAUGUGUAGCUGCACGUGAGUUAAAUAAAGACUUUAAAGUCCAAAUUAAGUCCAAUUGUAUCAGAUCACCAAGCAUAGUUCCAGAUUUGCCAGGUUUGUGGGGAGGGGUUGUUUUGAAAACGUUGGUUCUGCUGUAUAUGCCAAAUCAUAUAAAACGUGUCUAGUCCUUGUCAAAAUCUCAAAUUAUUUGUGAUUAUUUUGCUAUAGCUAUAUUCCAGAGUGAGUGGUACAAAGUGUCCAGCAUCAGAUUUUUGGGCUGUGUUCUAUUGAGUUGCCAUUACUAUGAAUGCUGCCACUUUAAUCUUGCCAAUUUUUUGGCAACAUAUUUACAAUGGUAUCAUCAGAAAUACACAGUGACAUUCAUUUUGGACAACAAACCAUCUUUUUAUAGUAAUAUUUAUCAUUUCUGAGAAAAUCGGAUACAACCCACUCACCUGAGCUUCAGCUCUUCAAAACAGCUAGGUGUGAUAUUGUCAAUGGCAAUUUCUAUCUCAACUAGAGUCUUAACAGGAACACCUGUUUUGCCUGUUCCUCCCUCAGUCUUACCCUCCCACCAUUUUCUUGUUCUUUCAUUUAUACCCUUUCUGCAUUGAACUUCAUGGAUGUUUGCAUGAUGAUUUUGGAAGUCCUGUUUAAGCUUUGUUUUGUUUUUAUAAUUAAUUUUUAUUCAGUUUCCAAUAUACAUUCCAUCCAUAUUUAACAUCCACUUCUAACAUAUACAUCUUUUAGACUUCCCUCAGCCUAUCUGACAAUUUUCCAUAUAAUCACAAUUACUCACAUUUCUUAAAUUUAUAUUGCGCUUUAACAAUCUUAAUCUUAUCAUAUCUUUUAAGCAACAUUUCUGUCCAUCGUUUUCACAGAGCUUCUUGAAAGCCAACAAGCGUUAUUUGCUCCUCACAUACAUUUUUGGUAUACUCUGUGAAUUUAUUCCAGUCCUCGGUGAAUCUCUGAUCACGCUGGUUCCGAAUUUUCCCCGUUAAUUUGUCCAUUUCUGCAUAUUCCAUCAGUUUCAUUCUCCAUUCUUCCCUCGUCGGCAUUUCUUCCUGUUUCCAUUUCUGGGCCAUCAAAAUUCUAGCUGCUGUCACUGCAUACCUAAAUAAUUUCACAUCAUUCUUUUUAAUUUCAUUCCCUAAUAUUCCUAAUAAAAAUGCUUCUGGUUUCUUAACAAAAGUAUAUUUCAACAUUUUCUUCAUCUCAUUAUAAAUCAUUUCCCAGAAGCCUUUCACUUUCUUACACUCCCACCACAUGUGAUAAAAUGUUCCUUCUUUUUCCUGACAUUUCCAACAUUUAUUACUGACUUUAUACAUCUUACCAAGUUUCACUGGUGUUACAUACCAUCUAUACAUCAUUUUCAUAACAUUUUCUUUUAUUGUAGUGCAUGCAGUGAAUUUCAUUCCUUCUUUCCACAAUUUUAUCCACUCAUCAAAUUGUAUAUUAUAACCAAAAUCUAUGGCCCACUGAAUCAUAAUUGAUUUUACUUCCUCAUCCUUUGUAUGCCACUCAAGUAAUAAUUUAUACAUUUUUGAUAAAAUUUUAACAUCACUAUUCAAGAUUUCUUGAUGAAACCUAGAUUUCUUUUCCUGGAAACCUCUUUCUGACAACUCUUUUUUGAACAUUGCAUUUAACUGAAAAUAGUGCAACCAGUCACUCACAUUUUCUUUAACUUCUUCAUAUGGUCUCAGUUUCCAUUUAUUACCUUCUUUAAUUAUCAAAUUCUCUUAAGUAAUCCAUCUCCCUGUCAUAUUGAUCUUUUUCACACUCAUUAUCUCCAAUGGUGAUAGCCAAUAUGGAGUUUUAAACUCUAAUAAAUUUUUAUACCUAUUCCAGACUUCAAUCAACGAUCUUCUUCUAAAGAUGUGGUUUUCAAAACCUUUAUGCACUCUAUUCUUUUCACACCAUAAAUACGCGUGCCAACCGAAUCUAUUAUCAUAACCUUCUAAGUCCAACAAUUCUGUGUUUUCUAACUUUAUCCAUUCUUUCACCCAGCAAAGACACGAAGCUUCAUAAUAUAGCUUUAAAUCUGGCAGGGGAAGUCCUGUUUAAGCUUUGAAAUACAUAUACAGUGUGCCUUAGUCCUAUACGGAGGAAUCUACAGAGGAAAGAGAGAUCAAAAUUUACUGUUAUUAUUGCUAUUGUUAUUAUUUUGUGAUUAUAUGAAAUCUUGUCUACUGCCUUGGAAGAGGCAAUGGCACUUUAAAAGGCUAUGCUGAACAUAAGAUAAGGUUGAGUUUUAAACAAUUGUCCUUUUCCUGCCAUCUCAAUGCAGCUCCACCCAUUUCUUAGGAGUGUCUCAUUUAACAACAGUGCGGGAGAAGAAGUGUCUUUUAGUGAGAACAGGGAAUUAGAAGCUGGAUUCGAUAUUACCAACUUGGUCACUUUCCCAAAUAACUCCUUCAUCAGAAUGAAGGUUGGAUGGAUGAAUUUGGAUGCUCCCCCAGGAAAAGAGUUUUCCAUCAAUGAAGACAAAAUGGUGUGGCACAGGAGUUUUCAGCAGGUGGGGCAUGAUUUCAGCAAAUUGCAACUCCAGUGGGUCCUAAAUGAGAUGCUUGCAUCUUUGAAGCCUAGCUGAGACAUGGAUCCUGUAUUUUUCCUCACUUGUUGUUUAUGAAAACCUCUAUGAAUGUUGUGGGGCUCUGAUGCCCUGAAGGAGGCCAGGACAUAGUUCAUUAUUAUAUGCUUGUUUGUUUAUUGCAUUUUUAGUCCACCUUUCCUUUGCUUACUUCCCAUUUUAUCCUAACAACCAACAACCCUGUAAGGUAGUGUAGACUGAGAGCAGCAGUGACUGGUCCAAGGUCACCCAAUGAGUUUCAUUUGAACCCUGGUCUUCCACUUCCCUGUCUAGCACAUUCUUUAAAGAUUUCUAGGCCAGCACAGUGUGACCUAAGCCUAACCUCCAACCAACUUCUUUGGGGAGAAAGAAAAGGGAGCUGAGCCUGGAGACAGAGGAGGCAGACUUCUGCAGAGAAUGCCUGGUUUGGAGGCUAGUAAUUCUCAAGUUAUAGUAGCAGAAGUCUGGCAGAGUCCAGCACUAUCCUUGGUUUUGAGGCUGCUUAACUUGUGUACGAUUGUCUCUUGGCCCAGUGUAUUUAGUCUGGGGUUCUCAGUUCCCAAUAUUUGUGUUUUUCAGGUGGAAAAACUGAAGGAACCUGACAGUGUAUAUAGGUAGCUGCUUAUUUAAAUCACUUAGGAUGUCAAAACAUCCUUUCAACUCUACUUUAAAUCCUUUUCAGUUUUAUAAGAAAUGUAUUUUUCCAAAUAAUAAUAAUAUUACUGUUCAGGUGGACUCCCUCCCUCCCUCUUUUUUAUUUUUACUUUUUUAAAAACACAUUGAAAUGGCCAUAACUUCAUUUUCAGAGUCACAAAACAUCUUCUGUCUCAUUAGAUGCCAUUAAUGGCUGUUGACAGCUCAUUGUUUUCAAAAUUCUCUUAAUAUUCAGCAGGCCAUUUCUCCCAUCCACUUGAUCCCUUGCAGCCCAGAAAAUGGAGUUCAGGUUCUCCAAAGGUCCAUUAUUCCCCCUGUGCUAAACAUUUCCUUAUGAUUAAUUAAAAUUCACAGGUGCCACCCCUCUCUCAAUGCAACAAAAAUUGCCCUUCUGGUACUAGGAGAAAAAGCAGGAAGGGGAGAAAUUCUGCUGCUAUGACUGUGCUCCAUGUUCAGAAGGCAAGAUUUCAUACCAGAAAGGUAGGAGACAUUAGGUAGCUUUCAGAUAACUCAGAUUUCCUGUGAAGGGUCUGUGUCAAUGUGAAAGGUGUCACAGUUGCUGCUAUUGAUGUAGUUCUGAUUUCCAUGGUGAUUGAAGUUCACAGACUUGGAGCUCUUUAUUGCAACCAGCUGAUGGCCCAGCAACGAGGCCCAGCAUUUUCAAAGAGGUGCUUUGCAAGCCCAAAUGAUCAGAUGAUGGUUGGGGUUUACAAAGCACACUGUUACCUGCCCUACACCUAACAUCAGAGAUGACAUCAGAUACAGGGCCCGUAGGUGUAACUUGCUAAAAUGGCCCCAUACUGCCAGGAGGAUGCAUACCUACUCUCAAGUUGCACCCUUAAAGGGAAUCCUUUCUUCUUUUCAGACAUGAAUGACUGUGUCGGAUGCUCAGAAGAUCACUAUCCAAACAGGAACCAAACACAAUGCAUUGCAAAGUCCAUCAGCUUCUUGACUUUGGAAGAACCGCUUGGGAUGAGCUUAGCUUUUGGCUCCGUAUUCUCCUCUUUGCUGACCAUCUUGUCCCUCGCCAUCUUUAUGAAGCAUCAGGACACACCGAUUGUCAGGGCCAAUAAUCGGGACCUCACCUACGUUCUCCUCCUGUCUCUCCUUCUCUGUUUUCUCUGUCCCCUCAUCUUCCUCAGCCGACCAGACAGAGUGACCUGCCUUGUCCGACAAAUGGCUUUUGGUGUGGUUUUCACAGUGACUGUUUCUUGUGUGUUGGCCAAAACCAUCACCGUUGUUCUGGCAUUCAUGGCCACCAAACCAGGAUCCAGAAUGAGGAAAUGGGUGGGGAAAAGACUGGCAAGCGCCAUUGUGUUGACUUGUACUAUUAUCCAAGCUGGUAUUUGCACUGUGUGGCUGGGAACCUCUCCCCAUUUCCCCAUUUUGACAAGCAUUCUGUGACAGGAGAAAUUAUUCUGGAAUGUAAUGAAGGGUCAGCUGCCAUGUUUUACUGUGUCCUGGGCUACAUGGGCCUCCUGGCCAUUGUCAGUUUUGUUGUAGCAUUUUUAGCCAGGAAACUGCCUGACAGCUUUAAUGAGGCCAAAUUCAUCACCUUCAGCAUGUUGUUAUUUUGUAGUGUUUGGAUCUCCUUUGUUCCGGUCUACCUGAGCUCCAAGGGAAAACACAUGGUGGCUGUGGAGAUCUUCUCCAUCUUGGUCUCCAGUGCUGGUUUACUGGGUUCCAUCUUUUCCCCCAAAUGCUACAUUAUCAUAUUAAGGCCUGAUCUGAAUGACAAACAGCAGUUAAUAAAGAAGAAAUAGCAAAGUACCCUGUUGUCACUUUUUUCUGUUACCCCAGAACAUGGGUAAUGAAUUUGCUGCCGACUCCUUGAUAUAAUUUUAUUUUAUUUGUUUAUUGAACUUGCUAUGUGCAUAAAAAAAAUCAGAUGGUUCUCCCCCACCCCGAGAUGUGGUCUGCACCUUUGGGAGCCCAAGGGCACAACUGGAAAACUGAGGAACUCUUGUGGACACAAAAAAACACCAAUUUCACAGAAGAAAGUGUGGAGAUGCUCAGAAACUCCACCUCCAUCCUUUCUUGUAACUUGAAUACAUUGGUUUGGGUCCUACUCUCUGUAGCAAUAGACAAGCUUGCUGCAUCUUCCAUGUGACAGCCCUUGAGGUAUUUGAAGAUGGGUAUCAUAUCUCCUCUCAGUCUCCUUUUUCUAGGCUAAACAUACCCAGCUCCCUCAACCAUUGCUCAUAAGGCUUGGUUUCCCACCCAUCAUCUUCCUGGCUGCCCUCCUCUGCACAUGUUCAGCACACAUUUUACCUCAUGAAAAUAUAAUGGGGGACUUUGCCAAAAGCCUGCCUGAACUCAAAAUAGACUAUGACCACAGCAUUCUCCUGAUCCACUACAUUUGUAAUGCCAUAAAAAAUAAAAUAAAUGAGAUUGGCCUGGUAUGACUACAACAGGCCCAGGACAGAACCCUUUGGCAUCUCUGUGGCAUCAAGAGAUAAUAUCCCUAUGCUAUGAGGAGAAAAUGAAAAGGAGGGAAAUACCCCUCUUCCCAGAGAGAGUGACAGAUGCCACAUAUACUUAUUCUGAGCUCAGAAUUGUACAUGCAGCUCUCUGUGUGAAUGAAGAAGUACUUGCAGAAGAGCCAGGACAGAAAUUCCCUACCUCAAGUUUUGUUUUCAAUUUUGCCUCCCUUACAGGCCUGUGGUCUGAAGUCUAGUGCUGCUUCCUUGGAAUCAGAGAGUCAGGGCCGAGCUCACAAUCCCCUUUGUGUCUCAAACUCUGCUCUUGAAUGCACUUUCCUCUUCACAAAGCAGCAUGUGAGAAAAGAGUUUAGGUGAAAUCACAAGGGCAGUCUUUGCCCUGGGCACAGUUUUUUCCAGGGCACGUUUUGCUCCUCACACCACCCAUGCCAGCCCUGUUGUGCUUUGCAAGUGCGAUCCCACAUCCCAGCCCCUCAAAGCAGCAUGGGGCUGGCAGGGCAUCAGGACGAUGUAAUGGGCAUGUGCCCUUCCUGCUGCGUCUUCCUCAUGUCACCCACCCAGCCUGUCACGGAUGCUUUAGUUGUGACCCCUGCAUUCCAGGGGGUCGAGCUUGAUGACCUUUGGGGGGAUCCUUUCAAUUCUACAUUUUUUUGUUUAUUUAGGUGAAUAUAUAGGGCCCCCCAUGGGACGCGGGUGGCGCUGUGGGUAAAACCUCAGCGCCUAGGACUUGCCGAUCGCAUGGUCGGUGGUUCGGAUCCCCGCGGCGGGGUGCGCUCCCGUCGUUCGGUCCCAGCGCCUGCCAACCUAGCAGUUCGGAAGCACCUCCGGGUGCAAGUGGAUAAAUAGGGACCGCUUACAAGCGGAAAGGUAAACGGCGUUCCGUGUGCUGCGCUGGCUCGCCAGAUGCAGCUUGUCACGCUGGGCACAUGACCCGGAAGUGUCUGCGGACAGCGCUGGCUCCCGGCCUAUAGAGUGAGAUGAGCGCACAACCCUAGAGACUGGCAAGACUGGCCUGAACGGGCAGGGGUACCUUUACCUUUUACUAUAGGGGCCCUAAAAAGGCCUGAAGACAGGGCCCAAUGGACCGUAUGUCCAUCAUCACAGCUCAUGCCUUGAAGUCACUCAGAGUCUGCUCACAAUUGUUCCUUUCCAGCCAAAUUCUACCAGUGGCAGGAUUCAUCUUGGCCCCAUGGGUUUACCUGCCCCAUGCCUGGCCUCACAUAACAUCAGCUGAUGGACAUGUGAAUGUGGUUUGGACCAUGAGCCCAAUGGAGAGGCUUGGUUGGCCUAACUGCUGCAGGUCAGAGGUCCUUGUUGAUUCCCCGCAAGGAGCUUUCUCUACCUGUGUAGAUUCUCUUGAGUGAUUGACAACUUUUAGGGUUCUGGAUUGUGUAAGAAAGUACCGUAAGGACAGCAAGCUACAGAGGCUCUCUUCUGAGAACACAGUAGGUGAUGAAACUGGCAGCAGGGAUGCAAUGGAGGAGAAGGGGCAACAGACUUGUUCCUGCUCCCCCCUCAUUACAAUGCCUUGAAAACACUUGAAGGAGGCUGCUGAGGGAUUAUUCUGUGUGGAUCAUUGUCUCUGCUACCUCCAAUGGACCAGCUGAGGCAAAGGGAUCAUUAUUCUCUCCCCUGUUAUUAUCAAUUACAUGGUAAUAAUCUGCUUCUGAUUAGACCUCCAUAGACUUCCAGGAAUCCAGUCUAAAAAGAAUUAAAACCCUCUCUGCCAUCCCCAGCAAAUGCUAAGGUGCUGCUGACUCGUUUAGUGAGCUUUCCCCUGGAGUUGGAUCCUAGGUCUUGGGAAUUUAGCUGGUGCAUUCGGAGAGUGCCAUUCAAGGUAAGCUGCUGUACUGAGGUUGUUUCUAAUGCCAAUGCUGAUUAGCUGUAAACAGCGAAAUCGCUGUCCAGGAAAGUGUAUUGUUCCUAGUAUGGCAGUGUUGAUGCUGUUAAUCUUCUCGCUGCCUCAAAUGGUGAAUCUGUCAAAUGUCAGUCGGAGCAUCAGUCAUCUCCAUAUCCCACACAAGUACUAUCAGUCAGGUGACCUUAUCAUUGGUGCACUUGCUUCUCACAUCGUGUCCUCUGUUGACUAUGAAACCUUCAUACAAUGGCCAUCCAUCCAUCAGAUUCUUAAUCCAUUGUAAGUGUUGCAAAUUUUCAAUUCCCAUGUCAUAUUAAUUCCUAAGUUACCAUGUGGGCUCAGAAAUACUUCCUAUUUAUUUUAUCUAUGGAGAUUUAUUACUUAUAGAGAGGGGUGCAAAAUAUCCCUCCCCACCACCUGAAUUUUAACAUCUAAAAUGAUCAAGACAGACAAUAAAUUUUUCGUCAAGCCUGUAGGAAUGAGGUGGAUUAUCUAGGAUCCAGCGUGGAAGCAAAGAAAGAGCAGUCUUCCAGUGAGAUAUGACAUGAUGUUCUGGGUGGUGUGUUUCUCUCUCACCCCCAAGCUCCCCAACCCCAUUUUCCAGAGCAGUGCUUAAUGGAGAGGAGGAGCCAUGGCCACGACCAGUCACAUGGGUGUCAUAAUCUAGAGAGCCCAGCAUUCUGAUGUCAACAGGAAAUGGGUGAAUGGCCAGUACGAACCAUUGGUCUACCUAGCUCAGGCCUGUCUACACAGAGUAGCAGUGGCUCUCCAGGAUUUCAGACAGGGGUCUGCCCCAGCUCCACCUGUGUGCUAAGCAGAUGCUCUACCAUUGGGUUUUACAGAAUCUUCAAAGAAAAUGUACACAGAGUAAUUGUCAAAACAUUACAGGCAACAGAAGGUUGGCUGCUAUCGGGGGCAAUAGCUUCAUUGAUGCGUGGGAAACUGAGGUGGGGUUCCAGAAACCUGCAAAAGGGCAACAAACUACAAGAAGGACGCAGCUGGAGAGAAUGAUUCCUAGUUUCAGUUGUCUCUACUGAAAGGCACAGGGUAUGGGAAACAAGCAAGAUGAAUUGGAGCUUUUAAUACAGGAUGGCAAAUAAGACCUAUGACCUAGAAGGCGAGUAGGCAUUGCCUCAGGGUUCAAGAUUUCUUUAACAGAUUGGAGGAUUGGGUUAACAAAUGAAUUUGAAUAGGGACAAAUGUAAGGUUCUGCACUUAGGCAGCAAGUACCAACUUCACAAAUGUAAGUUGAAGGACACCUGGCUUACUAGGAUCUCGCCAUCUUAGUGGAACUCAAGCUUCACUUGAGUGAACAGUGCGGUGCAGUUUUUGCUGUAUGUGUAUUUAAAACAAAUUCUUUAUUGGUUUAAUUCAAUCUGCCUGUAAGCUGCCUUGUUGCUCCCUAGCACAGAAAGACAUGGAACCUAAGUUUCUUUAAACAGAUUGACCAAAAAUGGUACACAGCAAUACGCUUUGAUGUCCAACUCUCAUUGCAGUGUUGUACCAAAAUACUAUCAGCAAAUUCUGGCCUUGGUGUUUGCAGUCCAGGAAAUCAACAAGAAUUCCAAUCUAUUACCUAAUGUCACAUUAGGAUUCCACAUCUUUGAUAGUUACUUCAGUGAAAGGAUGACCUACUGGGCCACUUUGGAGCUGCUCUCUACACACUACAGAUUCGUACCCAACUACCAGUGUGACAAACAGAAAUAUCUGAUGGCCGUCAUUGGGGGACUUGACUUUGAGGUUUCCCUCCACAUGGCAGCCAUCUUAGGUGUCUACAAGAUUCCCCAGGUAAGAGUCAAACAUGGUGACUCAUUCUUCUUUCCUCUGUCCUGUUGAGAAAAGUUGUGCAUUCCAUCAUAGCCCUCUUGACAAUUUCAAAUUGUAUUCAAUAAAAGUUUUCAUUCGUCUUCAUCCAUUUCCCAACGUGUGUAUAUUCUUCAGAAGGUAGGAAUGGAACAUUUUGAAGAUACAGUUGUACACACCUACUCUAUGUAUGUGAACAGCUUGGUCUGCUGGCCUCACGUAGACUCCAACCAGGAUGAAUUAUGGAGUGCUCAUCAGUCGCUUGUACAUUACCUUAAUUAAUUUGACCUGGAUAAUUUGGGGCUGUCAGGGUGCCGUCAACAGGUCACUGGUUAUCUACCUAGUGAAAUCAGAGGAGCAGAAAGAGCUUUUCAAUGGUUUCAUUUUAAUCCACAGGAAGACAGAAACACGUGAAAGUAUGCUCUCACCCUUGAGCUAAUAUUGCUCAGAUUGCAACUCCACCAUGCACCGACAAUUUCUUCCUAGAAAUCAGACGCCUCCUGCUGCCUAUGGUGGCUGCUAAGAACAAUUCUCUUUUGGGUUCUGCAGAGCGUGUCUUGACCUUGUGGAAGGAGGGGGCUCUGACAAACUCUCUUGAGAGAGAAUGUCACUUGGCUGCUGUACUGUUUCUAAGAAAUCUGACUCCUGUCUUUGUUCAUUGCCACCUUGCUCUGGUUCAUCAUCACUUAUUAUUUCCCAGGUCCUUUUUCCUUCUCAGGUGUGACCUGUCUCAAACCACCACACCAUACUCUCCCCCUUCCUUCUUUCUGGAAGGUUCUUAGGGUGCUGCUCUCCACCACUCCUCCUCAUCUCCCCAUUUCCUGACGGGCUUACUGAGACAGCGGGUCCAAAGCACAAUGGUUUCAUCAUUGCAAUCCACACAUAACCAAUGUUUCUACUGCAUUAAUGGGAAUUAAGUGUCCGUUUCCUUCUAGCUCUCUUAUGGCUCCUUUGCCUUGGAGGAUGCUGGUCAAAGCCAAUCCACUUCCUUCUACCGGAUGGUGCCCAAUGAAGCCCAUCAGUACACUGGGAUUGUUGAGUUACUUCUGCACUUUGGAUGGACGUGGGUUGGGUUGCUUGCGUUGGAUAGUGAGAGUGGAGAGAAGUUUAUGGAAAUCCUGCAAACUCUGCUUUUCCAGAGAGGCAUUUGCUUGGCCUUUUCAGAGAGAACUCCAAAAGGCUCAUAUUUUGAAGAGUAUUAUCACAUGAUUCCCCAGUGGCUCCAAGCCUAUCUUGCUAUUGCGGAAAGCAAAGCCAAUGCUGUCGUUGUCUAUGGAGAAGCCAAGUCCAUGUUUUAUUUGCAACUAUGCCUAGCGGCAGGGGGUGCAGAAAAUGUGACAUCUAUGGAGAAGGUAUGGAUUAUGACUGCUCAAUUGGAUUUCUCAGCAUUGGCCUUUCAAAUGAGCCAGAGUAUGCAACCAUUUCAUGGCUCCAUCUGCUUCACAGUGCACUCAAAGGAGGUGCAAGGAUUCAAGACCCUUCUUCGCUCCCUCAAUCCUUUCAUGGCAGGUGAAGAUGGUUUUCUUCAGCAGUUCUGGCUGCAGACAUUCUAUUGUUUCUUUUCAAAAUCCAGUACUGAGUUCAGUGAACCCUGCACUGGACUGGAGAAGCUGGACAGCCUCCCCUCGUCUGGCUUUGAGAUGAGCAUGACUGGCCACAGCUACAGCAUCUACAAUGCUGUCUAUGUUGUGGCACAUGCUCUACAUGAUGCCAUGUACAGAUCCAGGGCAAAAGACAGAGGAAUUGUGAGAAGAUGGAGACCGCAGCUUCAGAAAUUGCAGCCUUGGCAGGUAAUGGUUCUUUUGUUGUUGUUGUUGUUGUUGUAUAUCUUUUAAUUAUUAUUUCAUUUUAGAUUGUUGAUAAAGCAAAGAUAACGCAAUUUUAACAACAGACAAAAAUUGAAAGAUGAAUAACCAAACUGUAAAAUAGGCAGGUAGGGUGUGUAGUUGCACGUGAGUUAAAUAAAGACUUUAAAGUCCAAAUUAAGUCCAAUUGUAUCAGAUCACCAAGCACAGUUCCAGAUUUGCCAGGUUUUGGGGGAGGGGGUUGUUUUGAAAACGUUGGUUCUGUUGUAUAUGCCAAAUCAUAUAAAACAUGUCUAGUCCUUGUCAAAAUCUCAAAUUAUUUGUGAUUAUUUUUGUUAUAGCUAUAUUCCAGAGUGAGUGGUACAAAGUGUCCAGCAUCAGAUUUUUGGGCUGUGUUCUAUUGAGUUGCCAUUACUAUGAAUGCUGCCACUUUAAUCUUGCCAAUUUUUUUUGGCAACAUAUUUACAAUGGUAUCAUCAGAAAUACACAGUGACAUUCAUUUUGGACAACAAACCAUCUUUUUAUAGUAAUAUUUAUCAUUUCUGAUCAUUUCUGAGAAAAUCGGAUACAACCCACUCACCUGAGCUUCAGCUCUUCAAAACAGCUAGGUGUGAUAUUGUCAAUGGCAAUUUCUAUCUCAACUAGAGUCUUAACAGGAACACCUGUUUUGCCUGUUCCUCCCUCAGUCUUACCCUCCCCCCCAUUUUUCUGUUCUUUCAUUUUUACACUCUUCAUUGAACUUCAUGGAUGUUUGCAUGAUGAUUUUGGAAGUCCCGUUUAAGCUUUGAAAUACAUAUACAGUGUGGCUUAGUCCUAUACGGAGGAAUCUACAGAGGAAAGAGAGAUCAACAUUUACUGUUAUUAUUGCUAUUUUUAUUAUUUCGUGAUUAUAUGAAAUCUUGUCUACUGCCUUGGAAGAGGCAAUGGCACUUUAAAAGGCUAUGCUGAACAUAAGAUAAGGUUGAGUUUUAAACAAUUGUCCUUUUCCUGCCAUCUCAAUGCAGCUCCACCCAUUUCUUAGGAGUGUCUCAUUUAACAACAGUGCGGGAGAAGAAGUGUCUUUUAGUGAGAACAGGGAAUCAGAAGCUGGGUUCGAUAUUACCAACUUGGUCACUUUCCCAAAUAACUCCUUCAUCAGAAUGAAGGUUGGAUGGAUGAAUUUGGAUGCUCCCCCAGGAAAAGAGUUUUCCAUCAAUGAAGACAAAAUGGUGUGGCACAGGAGUUUUCAGCAGGUGGGGCGUGAUUUCAGAAAAUUGCAACUCCAGUGUGUCCUAAAUGUGAUGUUUGCAUCUUGGAAGCCUAGCAGAGACAUGGAUCCUGUAUUUUCUCUCUCUUGUUGUUUAUGAAAACCUCUAUGAAUGUUGUGGGGCUCUGAUGCCUUGAAGCAGACCAGGACAUAGUUCAUUAUUAUAUGCUUGUUUGUUUAUUGCAUUUUUAGUCCACCUUUCCUCCAAGAGCUCAAGGCUGUGUGCUUACUUCCUGUUUUAUCCUAACAACCAACCCUGUAAGGUAGUGUAGACUGAGAGCAGCAGUGACUGGCCCAAGGUCACCCAAUGAGUUUCAUUUGAAUCCUGGUCUUCCACUUCCCUGUCUAGCACAUUCUUUAAAGAUUUCUAGGCCAGCACAGUGUGACCUAAGCCUAACCUCCAACCAACUUCUUUGGGGAGAAAGAAAAGAGAGCUGAGCCUGGAGACAGACGAGGCAGACUUCUGCAGAGAAUGCCUGGUUUGGAGGCUAGUAAUUCUCAAGAUAUAGUAGCAGAGGUCUGGCAGAGUCCAGCACUAACUUUGGUUUUGAGGCUGCUUAACUUGUGUUACAAUUGUCUCUUGGCCCAGUGUAUUUAGUCUGGAGUUCUCAGUCCCCAAUAUUUGUGCUUUUUCAGGUGGAAAAACAGAAGGAACCUGACAGUGUAUAUAGGUGCUGCUUAUUUAAAUCGCUUAGGAUGUCAAAACAUCCUUUCAACUCUACUUUAAAUCCUUUUGAGUUUUAUAAGAAAUGUAUUUUUCCAAAUAAUAAUAAUAAUAUUACUGUUCAGGUGAACUCCCUCCCUCCCUCCUUUUGAUUUUUAUUUUUUUAAAAAACACAUUGAUAUGACCAUAACUUCAUUUUCAGAGUCACAAAAACAUCUUCUGUCUCAUUAGAUGCCAUUAAUAGCUGUUGACAGCUCAUUGCUGUCAAAAUUCUCUUAAUAUUCAGCAUGCCAUUUCUCCUACCCACUUGAUCCCUUGCACCCCAGAAAAUGGAGUUCAGGUUCUCCAAAGGUCCAUUAUUCCCCCUGUGCUAAACAUUUCCUUACGGUUAAUUAAAAUUCACAGGUGCCACCCCUCUCUCAAUGCAACAAAAAUUGCCCUUCUGGUACUAGGAGAAAAAAGAAGGAAGGGGAGAAAUUCUGCUGCUAUGACUGUGCUCCAUGUUCAGAAGGCAAGAUUUCAUACCAGAAAGGUAGGAGACAUUAGGUAGCUUUCAGAUAACUCAGAUUUCCUGUGAAGGGUCUGUGGCAGAGUGAAAGGUGUCACAGUUGCUGCUAUUGAUGUAGUUCUGAUAUCUAUGGUCAUUGAAGUUCACAGACUUGGAGCUCUUCAUUGCAAUGAGGUGAUGGCCCAGCAACGAGGCCCAGCAUUAUCAAAGAGGUGCUUUGCAAGCCCAAAUGAUCAGAUGAUGGUUGGGGUUUACAAAGCACACUGUUACCUGCCCUACACCUAACAUCAGAGGUGACAUCAGAUACAGGGCCAGUAGGUGUAACUUGCUAAAAUGGCCCCAUGGGCCAGAGGUUUUCUAUCACUUGAUUACCUGGGUGGUGAUGGAGAUGAGUUGCAGCAGUGCACCUGCAAAGCACAGGCCUCCUGCUGUCCAGACCCACCACCUUACUGUCCAGGCAAGCGACUGAGAUCAUUGUCUGGGGGAGGGGGGUUCAAAGCCCUUUCUCCCCAUGCUAGUCACUCCUGUGUCUGAAAAGGAUUGUCUCUUCCACACCCAACUGGUAAGUCCCAUACUGCCAGGAGGAUGCAUACCUACUCACAAGUUGUACCCUUAAAGGGAAUCCUUUCUUCUUUUCAGACAUGAAUGACUGUGUCGGAUGCUCAGAAGAUCACUAUCCAAACAGGAACCGAACACAAUGCAUUCCAAAGUUCAUCAGCUUCUUGACUUUGGAAGAACCGCUUGGGAUGAGCUUAGCUUUUGGCUCCGUAUUCUCCUCUUUGCUCACCAUCUUGUCCCUCGCCAUCUUUAUGAAGCAUCAGGACACACCGAUUGUCAGGGCCAAUAAUCGGGACCUCACCUACGUUCUCCUCCUGUCUCUCCUUCUCUGUUUUCUCUGUCCCCUCAUCUUCCUCAGCCGACCAGACAGAGUGACCUGCCUUGUCCGACAAAUGGCUUUUGGUGUGGUUUUCACAGUGACUGUUUCUUGUGUGUUGGCCAAAACCAUCACCGUUGUUCUGGCAUUCAUGGCCACCAAACCAGGAUCCAGAAUGAGGAAAUGGGUGGGGAAAAGACUGGCAAGCGCCAUUGUGUUGACUUGUACUAUUAUCCAAGCUGGUAUUUGCACUGUGUGGCUGGGAACCUCUCCCCCAUUUCCCCAUUUUGACAAGCAUUCUGUGACAGGAGAAAUUAUUCUGGAAUGUAAUGAAGGGUCAGCUGCCAUGUUUUACUGUGUCCUGGGCUACAUGGGCCUCCUGGCCAUUGUCAGUUUUGUUGUAGCAUUUUUAGCCAGGAAACUGCCUGACAGCUUUAAUGAGGCCAAAUUCAUCACCUUCAGUAUGUUGUUAUUUUGUAGUGUUUGGAUCUCCUUUGUUCCGGUCUACCUGAGCUCCAAGGGGAAACACAUGGUGGCUGUGGAGAUCUUCUCCAUCUUGGUCUCCAGUGCUGGUUUACUGGGUUCCAUCUUUUUCCCCAAAUGCUACAUUAUCAUAUUAAGGCCUGAUCUGAAUGACAAACAGCAGUUAAUAAAGAAGAAAUAGCAAAGU